UACGUAGGGUGCAAGCGUUGUCCGGAAUUAUUGGGCGUAAAGAGCUCGUAGGCGGUCUGUUACGUCGGCUGUGAAAACCUAGGGCUCAACCCUGGGCCUGCAGCCGAUACGGGCAGACUAGAAUUCGGUAGGGGAGACCGGAAUUCCUGGUGUAGCGGUGAAAUGCGCAGAUAUCAGGAGGAACACCGGUGGCGAAGGCGGGUCUCUGGGCCGAUAUUGACGCUGAGGAGCGAAAGCGUGGGGAGCGAACAGG
rnacentral:rRNA from 1 species